rnacentral:rRNA from 1 species
GACUAUGGCCAUGCCACCCUGAUCAAGCCUGAUCCCAUCUGAUCUCAGAAGCUAAGCAGAGUUGGGCCUGGUUAUUACUUGGAUGGAAGACCACCUAGGAAGACCAGGUGCUGUAGGUG